ACGGGAGGCAGCAGUGGGGAAUAUUGCGCAAUGGGGGAAACCCUGACGCAGCAACGCCGCGUGAAGGAUGAAGGUUUUCGGAUUGUAAACUUCUUUGACUGGGGACGAAAUUUGACGGUACCCAGAAAACAAGUCACGGCUAACUACGUGCCAGCAGCCGCGGUAAUACGUAGGUGACAAGCGUUAUCCGGAUUUACUGGGUGUAAAGGGCGUGUAGGCGGGUUUGCAAGUCAGAUGUGAAAUCCCGGGGCUCAACUCCGGAACUGCAUCUGAAACUGUAGAUCUUGAGUAUCGGAGAGGCAAGCGGAAUUCCUAGUGUAGCGGUGAAAUGCGUAGAUAUUAGGAGGAACACCAGUGGCGAAGGCGGCUUGCUGGACGAAAACUGACGCUGAGGCGCGAAAGCGUGGGGAGCAAACAGGAUUAGAUACCCUGGUA
rnacentral:rRNA from 1 species